rnacentral:misc_RNA from 1 species
GCUCUGGUUCGCAGUAGGGGCCUCCUUAUCUUAUUCAGUGGAAGCUCCAAAAUCACUGGGCCCCCAUUUUGUGAUUUACCAAUAUCAUUGCCAGGAGCAGCCCCGUUGGAUGAUGCUGAGAUAGAGAAGCUCCUGCAGCUGGUUGCUGGCAGUCGCAGAACAAAAUUCGCCAUUUUUGCAAUAUAUUUUCUUCUCUCUCAGUUUCUG